UAAGCGUACACGGUGGAUGCCCUGGCAGUCAGAGGCGAUGAAGGACGUGCUAAUCUGCGAUAAGCGUCGGUAAGGUGAUAUGAACCGUUAUAACCGGCGAUUUCCGAAUGGGGAAACCCAGUGUGAUUCGUCACACUAUCAUUAACUGAAUCCAUAGGUUAAUGAGGCGAACCGGGGGAACUGAAACAUCUAAGUACCCCGAGGAAAAGAAAUCAACCGAGAUUCCCCCAGUAGCGGCGAGCGAACGGGGAGCAGCCCAGAGCCUGAAUCAGUGUGUGUGUUAGUGGAAGCGUCUGGAAAGGCGUGCGAUACAGGGUGACAGCCCCGUACACAAAAAUGCACAUA
rnacentral:rRNA from 1 species